rfam:Xanthomonas fragariae strain PD5205 genome assembly, chromosome: 1
AUGUCUCAUUCGUACACUGCGGUUGCUCCGCGCCGUCCGCGCGCACCUGGUGACUGAUCGCUACGUAUUGUCAGCC